AGGAGGAACAGCCCUAGUGGCGGGGCCAGCUCUGGAGCCCUGGAGUCAGCCCCCGCAGUAACCCCGGAGCUCUCCGUCUGCAGGGCCUGGAGGAGGCUCCAGGGUGGG
rfam:Canis lupus familiaris chromosome 22, whole genome shotgun sequence.